rnacentral:misc_RNA from 1 species
GAAAUGCGAUAAGUAAUGUGAAUUGCAGAAUUCAGUGAAUCAUCGAAUCUUUGAAAGCACCUUGCGCUCCUUGGUAUUCCUUGGAGCAUGCCUGUUUGAGUAUCAUGAAAUCUUCAAAGUAAAUCUUUUGUUAACUCAAUUGGUUUCUACUUUGGUAUUGGAGGUCUUUGCAGCUUCACACCUGCUCCUCUUUGUUCAUUAGCUGGAUCUCAGUGUUAUGCUUGGUUCCACUCGGCGUGAUAAGUUAUCUAUCGCUGAGGACACUGUAAAAGGUGGCCAAGGUAAAUGCAGAUGAACCGCUUCUAAUAGUCCAUUGACUUGGACAAUACUUUUAUGAUCUGAUCUCAAAUCAGGUAGGACUACCCGCUGAACUUAAGC